rnacentral:misc_RNA from 1 species
GAAAUGCGAUAAGUAAUGUGAAUUGCAGAAUUCAGUGAAUCAUCGAAUCUUUGAACGCACAUUGCGCCCGCCAGUAUUCUGGCGGGCAUGCCUGUUCGAGCGUCAUUACAACCCUCAGGCCCCCGGGCCUGGCGUUGGGGAUCGGCGGAAGCCCCCUGCGGGCACAACGCCGUCCCCCAAAUACAGUGGCGGUCCCGCCGCAGCUUCCAUUGCGUAGUAGCUAACACCUCGCAACUGGAGAGCGGCGCGGCCACGUCGUAAAACACCCAACUUCUGAAUGUUGACCUCGAAUCAGGUAGGAAUACCCGCUGAACUUAAGC